UGAGGAACAUGACCUUCGGCGGGGGAUAGCCGGCCCAACGGCCGGGUAAUACCGCGUACGACCACAUGGGGACAUCCCUGAGUGGUGAAAGCAGCAAUGCGCCGAUGGAGUGCCUCGCGGCCUAUCAGCUAGUUGGUGAGGUAACGGCUCACCAAGGCGACGACGGGUAGCUGGU
rnacentral:rRNA from 1 species